GCAAGUCGAACGGUAGAGGGGGCAACCCCUUGAGAGUGGCGAACGGGUGAGUAAUAUAUCGGAACGUGCCCAGUCGUGGGGGAUAACGUAGCGAAAGUUACGCUAAUACCGCAUACGAUCUAAGGAUGAAAGCGGGGGAUCGCAAGACCUCGCGCGACUGGAGCGGCCGAUAUCAGAUUAGGUAGUUGGUAGGGUAAAGGCCUACCAAGCCAACGAUCUGUAGCUGGUCUGAGAGGACGACCAGCCACACUGGAACUGAGACACGGUCCAGACUCCUACGGGAGGCAGCAGUGGGGAAUUUUGGACAAUGGGCGAAAGCCUGAUCCAGCCAUUCCGCGUGCAGGAUGAAGGCCCUCGGGUUGUAAACUGCUUUUGUACAGAACGAAAAGGUUUCUAUUAAUACUGGGAGCUCAUGACGGUACUGUAAGAAUAAGCACCGGCUAACUACGUGCCAGCAGCCGCGGUAAUACGUAGGGUGCAAGCGUUAAUCGGAAUUACUGGGCGUAAAGCGUGCGCAGGCGGUUAUAUAAGUCAGAUGUGAAAUCCCCGGGCUCAACCUGGGAACUGCAUUUGAGACUGUAUAGCUAGAGUACGGUAGAGGGGGAUGGAAUUCCGCGUGUAGCAGUGAAAUGCGUAGAUAUGCGGAGGAACACCGAUGGCGAAGGCAAUCCCCUGGACCUGUACUGACGCUCAUGCACGAAAGCGUGGGGAGCAAACAGGAUUAGAUACCCUGGUAGUCCACGCCCUAAACGAUGUCAACUGGUUGUUGGGUCUUUACUGACUCAGUAACGAAGCUAACGCGUGAAGUUGACCGCCUGGGGAGUACGGC
rnacentral:rRNA from 1 species